ACAAGCUGCUAGUCGCACAGCUAGAGAAAGGGGGCGCUUCUGCACAGGUGCAGCAGAGGCAGAAAUCAGACGAACUGGAGAAACAGAUGAAGGAAGCAGAAAAACGUGCCAACAAAAGUGAAGAGAAGUUUACCAAAAUGAAGGAUGUGUACACCAAACUGAGGGAAGAACACAUUGUCCUUCUUAGAAAGAGUGCAGAAGUGGAGAGGCAGCUCACCAACACCUACAAGUCAAAGGACGAGACAGAAGCAGCCAAGAAAACAGCCGAGGACUUCGCACACAGGUUACAGGCUUCUAUGGAUGAAAAG